GACGACUAUCAGCGAUGGAUGUCUAGGCUCCCACAACGAUGAAGAACGCAGCGAACUGCGAUACGUUAUGCGAAUUGCAAGACUUCGUGAAUCAUCGAAACUUUGAACGCACAUUGCGCUC
rnacentral:rRNA from 1 species